GCUGGGCACAGUGGCUCAUGCCUGUAAUUCCAGUAGCUUGGGAGGCUGAGACAAGAGAAUUGUGAGUUUAAAGCCAGCCUCAGCAACUGCAAGGCACUAAGCAACUCAGUGAGACCCUGUCUCUA
rnacentral:sRNA from 1 species